UGCCGUUCCCAAACGUUGCUUUUUACUUUAUAGCAACGUAGUUAUCCAACAUAUGUUUUAUUUUUUUAUUUUUACUCAAUAAUAAAAAUAAAAAAAUAAAAAUAUUUUUUAAAAAUUAAAAAUCAAAAAGUGUAACCAAACGCAUUCUUAAUAAUUAUAGGGAUAUAACCGUGUAAAAGGGAUAAAAUUUCUAUAGUUAGUUUGAUCAUGAAAAAAAUUAUAAUUGGACCAUCAUCAUCUAUCAUGUAUCCC
rnacentral:lncRNA from 1 species